rnacentral:tRNA from 1 species
GCCGAAAUAGCUUUAACGGUAGAGCGCCUGAUUUGUAAUCAGGUUGUUGGGGGUUCGAAUCCCUCUUUCGGCUCA